GAUGAACGCUGGCGGCGUACCUAAUACAUGCAAGUCGAGCGAACAGACGAGGAGCUUGCUCCUCUGACGUUAGCGGCGGACGGGUGAGUAACACGUGGAUAACCUACCUAUAAGACUGGGAUAACUUCGGGAAACCGGAGCUAAUACCGGAUAAUAUAUUGAACCGCAUGGUUCAAUAGUGAAAGACGGUUUUGCUGUCACUUAUAGAUGGAUCCGCGCCGCAUUAGCUAGUUGGUAAGGUAACGGCUUACCAAGGCGACGAUGCGUAGCCGACCUGAGAGGGUGAUCGGCCACACUGGAACUGAGACACGGUCCAGACUCCUACGGGAGGCAGCAGUAGGGAAUCUUCCGCAAUGGUCGAAAGCCUGACGGAGCAACGCCGCGUGAGUGAUGAAGGUCUUCGGAUCGUAAAACUCUGUUAUUAGGGAAGAACAAAUGUGUAAGUAACUAUGCACGUCUUGACGGUACCUAAUCAGAAAGCCACGGCUAACUACGUG
rnacentral:rRNA from 1 species